ACUGCACAAACUAGCCGUUGACAUAUCCGAACCGUUGAUCCUUUGUAUCGGACGGUCCCCAGACCACUUCCCUCCUCACAAGGUCUCUCCUCGCUUUUCAGUCAGUCACUCACUCUCUCCCUCUCUCUCUCUCUUUCUCUCUCCGUCGGCCGAAGUUCUAAACAGAGAAGGGACGAAAGCAGAGCAGAGAUGCAGUCACUCUCUCUUUCCUCCGCACAGCCUCUCUUGUUCUCUCUCUGCAACAAGCCCUUUCCCUCUCUUCAAACGCCUACGCUUCAUCAGAAGAGCCACCUCUUUCACCACCACUCUACCCGCAUUCCAUUUCAUCCUUUCGGAUUCUCUGUCAAAGAUCAGAAAAUGUUGAGACCACGAAGAAGGUUUGGUGCAGCUUGUUACUCUGCUCCUCUGACUCCUCGAAACCUCCAGUGGAUCUGCACCGUUUCUUCUGCGAUUUUAAUGUUUUCAAAGGGCACUGCAGUUCAAAAAUCCUUUCUUGUUCCUUUUUUUGCUCUACAAGCACCCGCAAGCAUCAUAACAUGGAUCAAGGGUGAAUAUGGUACUUGGACUGCCUUUUUGGUUCUUCUUGUUCGUCUAUUCUUCUUCAUUCCAGCUGACUUGGAGCUUCCUUUGGUUGCAUUACUUCUGGGAAUUGUGGCUCCUUAUCAGGCAGUAGGUUUAAGAGGGACACAAGGAGGCAAUACUGUCUCCCUAGUGAUUGCAGGUUAUUUGGCUUACCAGCAUUUCUCGCGAGCAGGCAGCUUGCGGAUAGCAUUUGACCAAAGUUCAAUUGUUGCCACCUUAGCCAUUAUUUGUAUCACUGCUGUGCCGUUAUUGCUUCUGAUCUGAAUAUAUGUGCAGUCAUACUUCAUGGUGUCAUACUCCUAUAAAUAAUUUGCAACUAUCUUGAAGGCACCUCAUUGGAACUUUGCGACAUUUGCGAGCGAACAGCGCUCUCAUUGUGGUGGGAAAACGGAUCUGAGCAUUGGUCUGUUUAGAGGUAAUUUGCAGCAACUACUGGCACCAAGAGACAAGUUGCGGCAAAGACCAGCACUAAGCUACGCGACACACAGGCUGCUGAGCUGGGAGUAGCUGAUGGUUCUGAACCAUAAAUUGUUGAUCCGCUAGGGGUGGAUGGAGUGAGUGGCGAACUUGUGCUGUAAUUGCAAAUACGGAUAAGUUCUUUUUCCACUUUUUUUUUUUUUCUGGACAAAAGGCAUGAAACAAGAGGUGGUUGACUGGUUAUGAAGGUUUACCUUGGUGGUGUAGGUGGCGUUGGUGGUGUAGGUGAUGCUGGUGAUGUCGAGGAUGAUGCAUAGUGGCAACUUCCCGAACCUGCAAUAUUGAGAGGGAACUUGAAUGUUAAUUUGAAUUAUCAAUCGUAGAUAUUUAAGUAUUUGAGGAAUCAUAAUGAAAAGCUAUUAUUUCAACA